rnacentral:rRNA from 1 species
UACGUAGGGGGCAAGCGUUGUCCGGAUUUAUUGGGCGUAAAGAGCGUGUAGGCGGUUCAGGUCAGUCGUUGAAUGAACUCGAGGCUCAACCUCGAGACGCCGGUGGAAACCGUAAAGCUAGAGUCCGGAAGAGGAGAGUGGAAUUCCUGGUGUAGCGGUGAAAUGCGUAGAUAUCGUAAGGAAGACCAGUGGCGAAGGCGGGUCGUCUGGACAGUUCCUGACACUGAGACACGAAGGCCAGGGGAGCAAACGGGG